AAUAAUACUAAACAUUGUUCCCAGGGGAAACCGGUUAAAAUCCGGUACUGUGCCGCAACGGUAAUAAUUUGCUGACAAGUUAGCAAAUUUUAGUCCGACAACCUGGAACAAGCGUACACUUGAU
rnacentral:ncRNA from 2 species